rfam:Heterocephalus glaber contig239837, whole genome shotgun sequence.
GUGAGGGGGGCUUAGUGGCAGAGCACAUGUUCAGCGUGCAUGAGGCCCUGGGUUAGAUUCCCAGCAUUCUCC